GGAAUCUUCCACAAUGGGCGCAAGCCUGAUGGAGCAACACCGCGUGAGUGAAGAAGGUUUUCGGAUCGUAAAGCUCUGUUGUAAGAGAAGAACGUGUGUGAGAGUGGAAAGUUCACACAGUGACGGUAACUUACCAGAAAGGGACGGCUAACUACGUGCUAG
rnacentral:rRNA from 1 species